AUACGGACGGUCCGGGCGUUAUCCGGAUUUAUUGGGUUUAAAGGGAGCGCAGGCGGAGAUGCAAGCGUGACGUCAAAUUUCGGGGCUCAACCCCGUCUCGCGUCGCGAACUGCGUCCCUUGGUUGCGGGAAGGGGAGGCGGAACUCGGGGUGUAGCGGUGGAAUGCAUAGAUAUCACGAAGAACUCCGAUCGCGAAGGCAGCCUUCCGGCCCGUCAACGACGCUCAUGCUCGAAGGUGCGGGUAUCAAACAGGAUUAGAUACCCUGGUAGUCCGCACAGUAAACGAUGGACACCCGCGGUUUGGCCUAUAUGGCUGAGCCGCCAAGCGAAAGCGUUAAGUGUCCCACCUGGGGAGUACGCCGGCAACGGUGAAACUCAAAUGAAUUGACGUGG
rnacentral:rRNA from 1 species